CUGUACCUCUGAUAAUGAAUUUU
rnacentral:piRNA from 1 species